rnacentral:rRNA from 1 species
GACGAACGCUGGCGGCGUGCCUAAUACAUGCAAGUCGAGCGGAACCAUUGGAGCUUGCUCCUUUGGUUUAGCGGCGGACGGGUGAGUAACACGUGGGCAACCUGCCCUGCAGAUCGGGAUAACUCCGGGAAACCGGUGCUAAUACCGAAUAGUUUGCGGCCUCUCAUGAGGCUGCACGGAAAGACGGUUUCGGCUGGCACUGCAGGAUGGGCCCGCGGCUCAUUAGCUAGUUGGGGGGGUAACGGCUCACCAAGGCCACGAUGCGUAGCCGACCUGAGAGGGGGAUCGGCCACACGGGGACUGAGAAACGGCCCAGACUCCUGCGGGAGGAAGCAGUAGGGAAUCUUCCGCAAUGGACGAAAGUCUGACGGAGCAACGCCGCGUGAGUGAAGAAGGUUUUCGGAUCGUAAAACGCUGUUGUGAGGGAAGAACAAGUACCAAGUAACUACUGGUACCUUGACGGUACCUCAACAGAAAGCCACGGCUAACUACGUG